AUCCACAUGAAAGUGUUGACUUAGAAAUGCGAUGCUGCUACUGUUUUGAUAUCAAUGAAUUAAUUGUACAGCUGCUUGCCGAAGACUUUCAACGUAAGACUUAACGGUCAGAGCGGUGUCAGCACGGGAGCGAGCAAGUGUGGUUCUGAGGUGGUGAAUUGAUUAGAUAUGUCGACCAUACUGUCCCUGACAUUUGAUACUAUCCUCUGACUGGUCACUGCAAGUUAAAUCACCAACCACCUGUCGCACUAGUCCAAAUAAUUGUACGUUGACGGAUUUUUUUAGAUAUUUGAUAUGGCAAAUCCGUCACGUACAAAUUGUUAAGUAUCAAAAGUGGGUAGUUGUUCCGAUCAGGAUUCAGGGUUAAAGCAUAUAGCGUCUAUAAAAUAUCAUAAAAAACAAGAAAUAUUACCAGAUAAUGUUAUUUUAUAUUAGUUCCGUACGCACACAAAAAAAUAUCCAACUUAUAAUUAUGAGUUUGACGGCUUUUCUUCAUUUCAUUCUGUGAAAACAUAACAAUAUAUACAUGAAGGGCACCUGCAAGGCUUCAGGGCACAGUUUUAAAUCGCUCGGAACAUUUCGGCCAUGGCCGAGUUGUUACGAUUGUAUAACGAGGUCUAUCUCGAAGCUUUGUCGGAGGAGGCCGAGUUCUUACGAUUGUAUCGAGUUGUUCCCCUUCGCAUAAUUGUUAUCUGUGUCAGUCAACUUUCGUUUUAUUUGAAAGGUAAACAACUUGUUUUAAUGCAUUAAAUGCUUGUUUAGUGCAAAAUAACAUUUCACUUACAUGGUAAAAUAUGAAUUUAACUCUUUAUGAUCAAUUUCAACCAUAAAAUACUUCACUUAAAACAAUUUCAAUAUUUUUAAAACACCCCCGUUUUUUGCACAUUCCCGUUUAGACGUUAGGGAUUGGAAGAAUCCCGUAUAACACGUCUAUUAUUUUAGACUACUGUCGCACAUUUGAUACAAUAAGCGCAGUGUUUUUAGGUACCUGUUACUAUGUUACUUACACAUUUAUUUACAGUACCAAACUGAAUCAGUAAUUGUAAACAGGCUAUGAAAUGAUUAUGGUUACCAAAUAAUUGCAGAAUAUUUACCUGCAUAAAUGACCCUGAGGUGAAAUAUCUCCAUGAUGACAGAUUGGGCUUCCACAAAUGCACUGUCAAUGUGACAAGUGUGGUAGACCACUCACUUUCCUAUUUCCAUAGAGGAAGCCACUACAAGAACAGUUUUAAAUCCAAUUUAUCUAAUUAAAAAAUAUUUUCUUCCACUGUUUACAUCAUCCGAACGCUUGAAAUUACGACACAGAUAAGUCGGUAAAUUAGAAACGGUCGGACGCUUCACCCCACUAAUAAAUCGCCCCUUUUAUGGAUCAACUGUUUCACUUCAAUUAACAGGUUAACAGUUUAUCUUAUCAAAAUACAAAUAAGCAUGAAUAUUGCAUUAGAAUCACCAGUUUUGAACAACAUAAUUGUGAAAAUGCAACAUGAAAGUAUUGCAAAAUUAUAUUUGAGGAGGUUCCAGUUAAAACUCCCCAUACCUGUUUAAUAAAGCCUAAUAUUUUCCAUUUCUGUUGUGAUCCCCAUUUUUAUAUCAUGUUCUGCUUAUAUAUGUAAAGCAUGUUUUUGCUCCAAUGUUGACAUAUUUUACAAAUUAAGUUUUUUAAGCUUCCCUCUGUGGUAUAAAUAUUGCACAUGGGUGCACAAGUUUGGUCUUAAAGCACUGUAUAUCCCCUGUUUGGUCUAUUUAAUCGAACACCAUUUAAGUGUUUAUACUUAUCACGCAGAUUAAAUUAAAGCAUUAAUCCACUUUACAUUUGAUAAGUCAAUGCAAAGUUAACUAGAUUCUUAUACUAGUACUAUAAAAAAAAUCAAUAAUAGGACGGUAUUAAAAAAGCUGAACUGAUAUCCUAGUUAAGGGCAAGUAGUUCAGUCAACAUGAAUAUUUAGUGUAAUGUAACCUCAAAUCAUUUUUUCCCCAUUUUUUUUCGUUGUGGUUAAAACAUGGCCUUGACAUUCAUGAAAAAAACAACAACGGAUUUUUAGAAGCAGUUGUAGAAUUUUGGAAAGUAGACAUUUUAUCUGGUGGACGAGGCCGAAUUGCCGGGGAAAGGAAGUGACAGUGUCAUGAGCAUGGCCCACCACUACUUUCAGCACUAUGGUGUCGGUGAAAAACAUGCUGAGGUUUAUUUCGAUAAUGCUUUCCGCCAAAACAAGAACAAUGCUGUGCCUUGGUAUGCCAUGUGACGUGGGAUGACAGGGCUGCAUGAGAGUGUAAAGCUAAACACUAUGUUGGCUGGGCACACCAAAUGUGUUCAUGCAAUCACUUCGGCAAUUGGAAGGUCAAGUGGCGAUGCUGUAAUGCCGAGAAUCUUCAAGAAAUUGCCCACACUGAUUUCACCUCUUCAAAGUCCAGCCACAACAUCCCACAGUUGGUUUAUGACCCUCAGCAGCCAGUCACAGUUCACAGUUGGAAAUCAUUCCUAGAUACAUAUGUCAAAACUCUAAAGAGUAUUACCAAAUACCACCAUUUCUAUGUAUAAAAACAUAAACCAGGAGUUGUAGUAUGCAAAGAGUUUGUAGAUUCCUCAGAAAUUGAAGUUAUUCUUUUGAGGAUGAGUCUAGAAUGUGGUGUUUUGCCUGAAAUAAAGCACGCACCGUGCCUAGAUGCUGCACGUCAAUGGUACCUUCAAGAUUCUAUUGGUCCAUUCUUUAGAUCUGAGUCAUCAAGAUCUGCAGUAUGCCCUAAACCAACUCUGUGUAAAGUCAAAGUUUACUCAUUUGUUGUUGAAAUGUUGAUUGUAAAUCAAAUGUUUGUGGCAAAUAUGAAAGAAAUGAGUAAAAAAUGGAAUUAUCACAUGUAACCAUAGCAACAGACUGUUGUUUUAUGUAGUUCUUUUAUGUCAUUUUGUACAUAUAAUGAGCAAUGUGUACUCGUUGUUUCUAUGAAUUAUGUCUCCCCCUCUCUGGGGGAGACAUAUUGUUUUUGCCCUGUCCGUCAGUCCGGUAGUCCGUCAGUCCGUCCGUACGUCACACUUCGUUUCCGAUCGAUAACUGGAAAACCGCAUGACCUAGGAUCACCAAACUUGGUAGGGAGGUUGGUCGUGAGGUGUAGAGGAUCCCUAUUGUUUUUGGGGUCACUAGGUCAAAGGUCAAGGUCGCGGCGACCCCCAAUAUAAAAAACAUUUCUGCUCAAAAUCUUGAGAACGGUUUGACCUAGGUUCACCAAACUUGGUAGGGAGGUUGGUCAUGAGGUGUAGACGAUCCCUAUUGUUUUUGGGGUCACUAGGUCAAAGGUCAAGGUCGCGGCGACCCCCAAUGUAAAAAACAUUUCCGCUCAAUAUCUUGAGAAUGGUUUGACCUAGGUUCACCAAACUUGGUAGGGAGGUUGAUCAUGAGGUUUAGAAAACUCCUAUAUUUUGGGGGGUCACAAGGUCAAAGGUCAACGUCGCUGUGACCUCUAAUGUAAAAAAAUAUUUCCGUGCAAUAUCAGGAGAAUGCUUUGAUCUAGGUUCACCAAACUUUGAAGUGAGGUUGGUCAUGAUGUCUAGUUGGUAUGCUGGUAGGUCAUGACUAGUAGAUGACUCCUAUUGAUUUUGUGAUCUGUAGGUCAUAGGUCAAGGUCGCAGUAAACUUGAGGUGAAAACACAGUUUCCGCUCAAUAACUAAAGAUCCUUUGGGUCCAGGAACUUCAUACUUGGUAUACUAUUUGUUCAUGGCUAGUAAUUGACCCCUAUUGAUUUUGAGAUCAAAAGGUCAAAGGUGAAGGUCGCCAUGACCUUGAGGUGAAGAAACGGUUACUAAAGUAACUAAAGAAGGCUUGCACCCAGGAACUUCAUACUUGGUAUGCAAGUUGGUCAUGUAGAUGACCCCUAUUGAUUUUGUGAUCAGUUGGUCAAAGGUCAAGGUCACGAUGACUUUGAGCUGAAAAAUGGUUUCUGAUCAAAUAAUUGAAUAACAAUUGCGCCCAUGCACUUCAUACAAUACAAACUUCAUUUACAUUUUCCAAGAUUAAUCAACAACACUUUCUUCUCUUCACUAUUUGAUACGGGUGAAUAAACCAAACUUCACUGUUGGUUCGUCUUCCGUCCAGAAUUACAAAUUUUAUGUCCAUCAUUUAUUUUUUCUCAGCUACGACCACACAAUAGGGGAGACAAGCGCUUUUUCAAAAAAGCAAUCUCUAGUUAGUUUAUGUGUUAGCUAUAACAGACAGUUAAGUUUCGGCAUGGUAACUGCAUUUAAAAUAAAAACAUUUUUAGUGGACAUUGUUUUCAAACUGGCUUACCAAUGUGUAACAGAAUGAUCCAUAUCUUUUGAUUUCUUUGUACAAAAAUGACUUGAAACCUUAGUUUUUAUACCUUAGAUACUUGGUAUCAUCU